rnacentral:rRNA from 1 species
GACGAACGCUGGCGGCGUGCUUAACACAUGCAAGUCGAACGGAAAGGCCCUGCUUUUUUGGUCUGCUCAAGUGGCGAACGGGUGAGUAACAAGUGCGUAACCUGCCCUUGACUUUGGGAUAACUUCAGGUAACUGAGGCUAAUAACGGAUAGAAGCUCCUGCUGCAUGGCGUGGGUUGGAAAGUUUCGGCGGUUGGGGAUGGUCUCGCGGCUUUUCAGCUUGUUGGUGAGGUAGUGGCGUACCAAGGCUUUGACGGGUAGCCGGCCUGAGAGGGUGACCGGGCACAUUGGGACAGAGAAGGGGGCAAGACGGAUACGGGAGGAAGGAGUGGAGAUUUUUGGACAAAGGGCGGCAGGCGGAAUGAGCACCGCCGCGUGGGGGAUGACUGUUUUUGGGGAGGAAACGGCUUCUGGCUAUGACUAAGAGGGAGUGACGGUAACGGGUAAAGAAGCAACGGCUAACUACGUG